AUUUAAUAAAUUAUAUUAAUAUAUAAAUAAAAUAUUUUUAAUUUUAUUAUUGUAAAAGAAAAAAAUUUAUUAAUUAUAGUGUAUUAGUAUAGUCAUAUAAAUUUGAAAUAUUAUGAAAAUUAAAAUAUUAAAAAGAAGAAUUUAAUUUUUGUACCUUGUGUAUCAGGGUUUAUUAAAUAAAUAUUAUAGAUUUAAUUUUCUCGAUUUUAAAAGAGCUAAAAAAUUAUAAAUUUUACUGUAAAAUAAGUAUUUAAAAUAAUUUUUUUGUAGUGAAAUGUUAGUCGUUUUUAAAUAUAUCUAGUUUUUGAAGAAAAAAAUUUAAUUUUUUAUUUUAAAUAAAAUUUAUUUUAUUAUAAGUAAUUUUUUUUUUAAAAUUAAAAUAAUUUAAGGGAUAAGCUUUAAAUUAAAUUUUUAUAAUUUAUUUUUAAUAGUAAAAAAUUGUAGGAUUAGAAAUUUUCAUCAUUAGUUUGUUAUAAUUAAUUUUUAUUAAUAUUAAAUUUAUAUUAAAUUUAAUUUUUAUAUUCAAAUAUAUUAUUUAACUUUAUAAUAUUAGAAAUAAUGAUAAAAUUAGUAUAAUUAAAAUUAAAAUUUAAAUUUUAAUUUUUAGGUAAUAUAAAGGAAUUCGGCAAAUAUAUUUUUCGCCUGUUUAUUAAAAACAUGUCUUUUUGAAUAUAAUUUAAAGUCUAACCUGCCCAUUGAAUUUUAAAAGGCCGCGGUAUUUUGACCGUGCGAAGGUAGCAUAAUAAUUAGUUUUUUAAUUGAAAGCUGGAAUGAAUGGUUGAACGAGAAAAUAGCUGUCUCUAUAUUAAUAAAUUAAAACUUUAUUUUUAAGUUAAAAAGCUUAAAUUUUUUUAAAAGACGAGAAGACCCUAUAGAGUUUUAUAAAUUAAGUUUUUUUAAAUUAUUAGGAUUUUAUAUGUUAAUAAAUUUAAUUUAUUUUAUUGGGGUGAUAGAAAAAUUUAUAAAACUUUUUUUUUAUAGAAACAUUAAUUUAUGAAUUUUUGAUCCAUAAUAGUGAUUAUAAGAUAAAAUUACCUUAGGGAUAACAGCGUAAUUUCUUUAAAGAGUUCUUAUCGAAAAGGAAGUUUGCGACCUCGAUGUUGGAUUAAAAUUAAGUUUUGGUGUAGAAGCUAAAAUUUUAGGUCUGUUCGACCUUUAAAAUUUUACAUGAUCUGAGUUUAGACCGGCGUGAGCCAGGUUGGUUUCUAUCUUUAAAUUUGUAUAAUAUUUUAGUACGAAAGGACCAGAUAUUAAUAAUAAUUAUUAUUAAAGAUUAAAAUUAAUU
rnacentral:rRNA from 1 species